rnacentral:rRNA from 1 species
GUUAGUGGAAGCGUCUGGAAAGGCGCGCGAUACAGGGUGACAGCCCCGUACACAAAAAUGCACAUGCUGUGAGCUCGAUGAGUAGGGCGGGACACGUGGUAUCCUGUCUGAAUAUGGGGGGACCAUCCUCCAAGGCUAAAUACUCCUGACUGACCGAUAGUGAACCAGUACCGUGAGGGAAAGGCGAAAAGAACCCCGGCGAGGGGAGUGAAAAAGAACCUGAAACCGUGUACGUACAAGCAGUGGGAGCACAGAGCAAUCUGUGUGACUGCGUACCUUUUGUAUAAUGGGUCAGCGACUUAUAUUCUGUAGCAAGGUUAACCGAAUAGGGGAGCCGAAGGGAAACCGAGUCUUAACCGGGCGUUAAGUUGCAGGGUAUAGACCCGAAACCCGGUGAUCUAGCCAUGGGCAGGUUGAAGGUUGGGUAACACUAACUGGAGGACCGAACCGACUAAUGUUGAAAAAUUAGCGGAUGACUUGUGGCUGGGGGUGAAAGGCCAAUCAAACCGGGAGAUAGCUGGUUCUCCCCGAAAGCUAUUUAGGUAGCGCCUCGUGAAUUCAUCUCCGGGGGUAGAGCACUGUUUCGGCAAGGGGGUCAUCCCGACUUACCAACCCGAUGCAAACUGCGAAUACCGGAGAAUGUUAUCACGGGAGACACACGGCGGGUGCUAACGUCCGUCGUGAAGAGGGAAACAACCCAGACCGCCAGCUAAGGUCCCAAAGUCAUGGUUAAGUGGGAAACGAUGUGGGAAGGCCCAGACAGCCAGGAUGUUGGCUUAGAAGCAGCCAUCAUUUAAAGAAAGCGUAAUAGCUCACUGGUCGAGUCGGCCUGCGCGGAAGAUGUAACGGGGCUAAACCAUGCACCGAAGCUGCGGCAGCGACACUGUGUGUUGUUGGGUAGGGGAGCGUUCUGUAAGCCUGUGAAGGUGUACUGUGAGGUAUGCUGGAGGUAUCAGAAGUGCGAAUGCUGACAUAAGUAACGAUAAAGCGGGUGAAAAGCCCGCUCGCCGGAAGACCAAGGGUUCCUGUCCAACGUUAAUCGGGGCAGGGUGAGUCGACCCCUAAGGCGAGGCCGAAAGGCGUAGUCGAUGGGAAACAGGUUAAUAUUCCUGUACUUGGUGUUACUGCGAAGGGGGGACGGAGAAGGCUAUGUUGGCCGGGCGACGGUUGUCCCGGUUUAAGCGUGUAGGCUGGUUUUCCAGGCAAAUCCGGAAAAUCAAGGCUGAGGCGUGAUGACGAGGCACUACGGUGCUGAAGCAACAAAUGCCCUGCUUCCAGGAAAAGCCUCUAAGCAUCAGGUAACAUCAAAUCGUACCCCAAACCGACACAGGUGGUCAGGUAGAGAAUACCAAGGCGCUUGAGAGAACUCGGGUGAAGGAACUAGGCAAAAUGGUGCCGUAACUUCGGGAGAAGGCACGCUGAUAUGUAGGUGAAGUCCCUCGCGGAUGGAGCUGAAAUCAGUCGAAGAUACCAGCUGGCUGCAACUGUUUAUUAAAAACACAGCACUGUGCAAACACGAAAGUGGACGUAUACGGUGUGACGCCUGCCCGGUGCCGGAAGGUUAAUUGAUGGGGUCAGCGCAAGCGAAGCUCUUGAUCGAAGCCCCGGUAAACGGCGGCCGUAACUAUAACGGUCCUAAGGUAGCGAAAUUCCUUGUCGGGUAAGUUCCGACCUGCACGAAUGGCGUAAUGAUGGCCAGGCUGUCUCCACCCGAGACUCAGUGAAAUUGAACUCGCUGUGAAGAUGCAGUGUACCCGCGGCAAGACGGAAAGACCCCGUGAACCUUUACUAUAGCUUGACACUGAACAUUGAGCCUUGAUGUGUAGGAUAGGUGGGAGGCUUUGAAGUGUGGACGCCAGUCUGCAUGGAGCCGACCUUGAAAUACCACCCUUUAAUGUUUGAUGUUCUAACGUGGACCCGUGAUCCGGGUUGCGGACAGUGUCUGGUGGGUAGUUUGACUGGGGCGGUCUCCUCCUAAAGAGUAACGGAGGAGCACGAAGGUUGGCUAAUCCUGGUCGGACAUCAGGAGGUUAGUGCAAUGGCAUAAGCCAGCUUGACUGCGAGCGUGACGGCGCGAGCAGGUGCGAAAGCAGGUCAUAGUGAUCCGGUGGUUCUGAAUGGAAGGGCCAUCGCUCAACGGAUAAAAGGUACUCCGGGGAUAACAGGCUGAUACCGCCCAAGAGUUCAUAUCGACGGCGGUGUUUGGCACCUCGAUGUCGGCUCAUCACAUCCUGGGGCUGAAGUAGGUCCCAAGGGUAUGGCUGUUCGCCAUUUAAAGUGGUACGCGAGCUGGGUUUAGAACGUCGUGAGACAGUUCGGUCCCUAUCUGCCGUGGGCGCUGGAGAACUGAGGGGGGCUGCUCCUAGUACGAGAGGACCGGAGUGGACGCAUCACUGGUGUUCGGGUUGUCAUGCCAAUGGCACUGCCCGGUAGCUAAAUGCGGAAGAGAUAAGUGCUGAAAGCAUCUAAGCACGAAACUUGCCCCGAGAUGAGUUCUCCCUGACCCUUUAAGGGUCCUGAAGGAACGUUGAAGACGACGACGUUGAUAGGCCGGGUGUGUAAGCGCAGCGAUGCGUUGAGCUAACCGGUACUAAUGAACCGUGAGGCUUAACCUUACAACGCCGAAGGUGUUU